UACGUAGGGUGCAAGCGUUGUCCGGAAUUAUUGGGCGUAAAGAGCUCGUAGGCGGUCUGUCGCGUCGGAUGUGAAAAUCCAGGGCUCAACCCUGGACCUGCAUUCGAUACGGGCAGACUAGAGUUCGGCAGGGGAGACUGGAAUUCCUGGUGUAGCGGUGAAAUGCGCAGAUAUCGGGAGGAACACCAAUGGCGAAGGCAGCUCGCUGGGACGGUACUGACGCUGAGACGCGAAAGCGUGGGGAGCAAACAGG
rnacentral:rRNA from 1 species